GCUACGGGAGGCAGCAGUGGGGAAUAUUGGACAAUGGGCGAAAGCCUGAUCCAGCCAUGCCGCGUGUGUGAAGAAGGCCUUCGGGUUGUAAAGCACUUUCAGUGGGGAAGAAAGCCUUGGGGCUAAUACCCUCGAGGAAGGACAUCACCCACAGAAGAAGCACCGGCUAACUCCGUGCCAGCAGCCGCGGUAAUACGGAGGGUGCGAGCGUUAAUCGGAAUUACUGGGCGUAAAGCGCGCGUAGGCGGUCUGAUAAGCCGGUUGUGAAAGCCCCGGGCUCAACCUGGGAACGGCAUCCGGAACUGUCAGGCUAGAGUGCAGGAGAGGAAGGUAGAAUUCCCGGUGUAGCGGUGAAAUGCGUAGAGAUCGGGAGGAAUACCAGUGGCGAAGGCGGCCUUCUGGACUGACACUGACGCUGAGGUGCGAAAGCGUGGGUAGCAAACAGGAUUAGAUACCCGAGUAGUC
rnacentral:rRNA from 1 species